rnacentral:lncRNA from 10 species
CGGAUGAAGGUCCCACCACGAGCCAUCCUCCGCGCCUGGGUCCUCCUCUCUGGCCCCAGGUGUAAAAGAAGGAUGCACCUCUGAACGAGGACUAGAGAUGAGUUUAGAGAAUUCGGGAGUGCGAGGAAGGGUCCAAGAUGUGAGGUUCUCAUCCAAGCACAGAGGAUGAUGGAGGUCUACCUUCCUCUGGGUGAUCCCUGCCGUAUGACCCAGCUCAUCCCUAGAGUUGGGCCACUCCCAGGAUGGUCAGAGUGCAGGAAGAGGAGGGCAACAAGAGAAGUCAUAACCACAGAACCUAAGAGCAAGAAUUGCCCAAAAAGAUGACAUAAGCAAGUGCAUCCUAGGCAUGGAUCAUUUUUCAGAAGCUCCCCACCACCACCAGAAGAUUCUUAUAUGCAGCAAAUGUUGAGAACCACUGCUCCAGGCCAAUCUUCUUAUUUUGAAGAGAAGGAAGCAGACUGAAUGACUUGGCACAGUGACUUGGACAAGGAUGUUCAUUUAUUCAUUCAAUAAACCAGGUCUCCUAACUCCUGG